rnacentral:rRNA from 1 species
GAGUUUGAUCGUGGCUCAGAUUGAACGCUGGCGGCAUGCCUUACACAUGCAAGUCGAACGGCAGCAUGAUCUAGCUUGCUAGAUUGAUGGCGAGUGGCGAACGGGUGAGUAAUACAUCGGAACGUGCCCUGUAGUGGGGGAUAACUAGUCGAAAGAUUAGCUAAUACCGCAUACGACCUGAGGGUGAAAGUGGGGGACCGCAAGGCCUCAUGCUAUAGGAGCGGCCGAUGUCUGAUUAGCUAGUUGGUGGGGUAAAGGCCCACCAAGGCGACGAUCAGUAGCUGGUCUGAGAGGACGACUCACGCCACACGUGGGACUGGAGACGACCGGCCCAGACCUCCGUACGGGA